AGGAGAAGAAGAUGAGGGAUUUGAUGGCAGCGAGAAAGAGAGCAUCGAGAAUGAUGAUGAUGAAGAUGAAGAUGACGGAGGUGAGCAGGAAGAGGAGGAUGAGGAAGAAGAAAAAAGGAAAGAGAUAGAAAAGGAAGACUGCUUCCCCCCACCUCCUCCGCCUGUCUUUUGGAAAGAGAGUGCUAAAGCGAGUCAGUACUCCCCUACUGAGGCCGAACACCACCCAGUGGACUUGUCCUCCACCCCUGGGUCCUGUGGCUCUGGAAAGCUGCCUGUCUCCGAGUCCCCAGGGGGGCUGUCACUCUUCGCCCUGGCCGUUGCCCAGAGGGCCCAGCGCUUCACCCAGGCCUUUAACACCCGUGCCUCCUCCACCAACAGACGACGGCUUGGUCACCCAGAGAGCCCCUACAGCAACGGCUGUGUACCCACUGCUCUCCGCUAAGGGGAGGGAACCUGAGGCUGACCUCGCUGUGACCUUCCCGUGUUUGUUUAUCCGCCUGAUAUUCCUGAAGAAGCCUCGAAUGGAAGUUCAAUCCGCAACAAUGACACAUUGUUUAUGCCAUAAAAAAACACGACAUGACACAACGCAGCAUGGAUGUUUUCACGGUAACCAAACCACCAAACACGGGUGAAGUAGGAUGGACGUCUCAGUCCUUGUGAAUGGGGAAGGGUAUGAGGAUGUAUUGGAUUUUUUUUAUUUGUGAGUUAUUUUCUAGUCUGUAAAAUGUACAUUCCAAGCUUGCUUAUGGGCUUAAACUGGUGUAUUUAUGUUACGUUUUGGAGUGUGCUAUUUCUGCAUUUUUGGCCCACAAACAGAUUAUUUUUUUACUUUAUUUUUUUUUACUGGAAUUUAUCUGAAUCAUUUAUGUCUUUGUUCUGUCACUUGUUUUGCUACUGUGCAUAAAUAAAGCAUCGAAAAUA